GCACUGCACAGAGGCAGUCCUCUUCCCAUAAUACACACACACGUAUAUUUUCACAGCGAGAGGUGAAGUUGCCCCCGCGGCGUUGAUAAAUCGCGUAGAUUGGGCUCACGCCGAGAUACAAUCGGUCACCUCACCCACGAUUCAAUCGCGUUGGCAUGUAAAACAAAACGGGUGUCGUCACCUCUUCAGAGGCCUCGUGAGU